CCUACGGGAGGCAGCAGUGAGGAAUAUUGGUCAAUGGACGCAAGUCUGAACCAGCCAUGCCGCGUGCAGGAAGACGGCUCUAUGAGUUGUAAACUGCUUUUGUACGAGGGUAAAUCCCUAUCCGUGUGUCGGGUUGAAAGUAUCGUACGAAUAAGGAUCGGCUAACUCCGGUCCAGCAGCCGAGGUUAUACGGGGGAUUCCAGCAUUAUUCGGUUUUAUUGGGGUUAAAGGGUUCGUAGGGGGUUCGAUUAAUUAGAUGGGAAAACGCGGGGCUCAACUGCGGCAGUGCCGCUGAUACUGUCGGGCUAGAGUGUAGUAGAGGUAGGCGGAAUGUAUGGUGUAGCGGUGAAAUGCAUAGAGAUCAUACAGAACCCCGAUUGCGAAGGCAGCUUACCA
rnacentral:rRNA from 1 species